rnacentral:piRNA from 1 species
UGGCACGCCAUUGAAAUGCACAGUGUUGC